ensembl:lncRNA
GUGGGGAUGGGGGGUCGACGUCCGGCAGCGUGGGGUCAGCGUUGGCCAAUCAGGAGGCAGAACGCAGCCGGGGGUCGGCGGCGGCCAUCUUGGGGUCAAAGGGCACCGCUGUGGGGUCGCUGUCGGCCAAUGAAGGCCCAGCAGCCUCCAAGGUGGGACCGGAAGUGGGCGCGGCGGCCAUCUUGGUGCCUGAGCCAGCCAAUGGGAGCGCUGCGGGGUCAACUUCCGCCAUCUCGCGGGCGAAGUCAACCAAUGAGAGUGCUGAGAAGUCGGCGUCGGCCAUCUUGGUGCGUGAAUCAGCCAAUGGGAGCGCGGCGAGGUCGACGUUGGCCAUCUUGUUGGCAAGGUCAGCCAAUGAGAGCGCAGCGAGGUCAACGCCCACCAGUUUGGGGUCAAAGGUGACGACCACCACCCCAAUGACGGCCAGCUUGGAUCCGACAUCCGCCAUCUUAGGGUCAAAGGUCAUGACAUCUACUCCAACGUUGGCCAUCUUGGGGUCAAAGGUGACGACCCCCAACCGCCCAUCAGCCAUCUUGGAUCCAACGUCGGCCAUCUUGGGGUCAAAGGUGACGACCCCUACCCCCCCCUCGGCCAUCUUGGGGUCAAAGGAGACGACCCCCACCCCCCCGUCGGCCAUCUUGGACUCCGAGACCCCAACGUCAGCCAUCUUGGGGUCAACAGAGACGACCCCCACCCCAACGUCGGCCAUCUUGGAUCCAACGUCGGCCAUCUUGAACUCCGAGACCCCCACCCCAACAUCG